CAGUGCAGGCAGAGGUGAUCCCGGCCGUCCUGGAGAGCGCUCAACAGGGGCUUCUGAUUGGACGAGGGGGCUACAAGCCCAGAGACAUCUGUGUGUCUGCUCCUACAGGCAGCGGCAAGACCCUGGCGUUCGUCAUACCUGUCAUCCAGGUUCUGAUGGAGCGGGUGGUGUGUGAAGUCCGUGCUCUGGCCGUGUUGCCGACCAAAGAGCUCGCCCAGCAGGUGUGCAAAGUGUUUGCGUCGUACGCUGAGGGGACCUCUCUGAAGGUGGUGAUGCUGGCCGGACAGAAGUCCUUCGCUGCAGAGCAGAGCUACCUGUCGGAGCU